rnacentral:rRNA from 1 species
UACGGAGGGGUGCGAGCGUUGUCCGGAAUCAUUGGGCGUAAAGGGCGCGUAGGUGGCCCCUCAAGCGUGCGGAUGAAAGUCAGGGGCUCAACCCCUGAUCGGCCGUGCGAACUGGGGAGCUUGAGCACUGUAGAGGCAGGCGGAAUUCCGGGUGUAGCGGUGGAAUGCGUAGAGAUCCGGAAGAACACCGGUGGCCGAAGGCGGCCUGACUGGGCAGUAACUGACACUGAGGCGCGACAGCGUGGGGAGCAAACAGGG